UUUGUUUUCAAAAUCCCAAUCCCUGAAUUCAGGAGGUGUUUUUGUGCAUCUCAGGAAAUUGUCUUAGACUGAAUAAGGGAAGAAUGAGGGUGCGCACUUGGAACUAGGCAUGUGGAAGUCCUUUCUCAAGGGCCCCAAACACACAUGUGUUCUCGAAGAAUUCCAAUUCACUAUGGUGUUUGCGAACAUUCACCGGGUGCUUCCCGGGUGUCCCCGUGUGGCUGCACCUGGGGAUGCCGCUGCUCACCGGCUCCUGGGGAUGCUGAUAAGUUCCAGGAAAACCCAGCUGUUCCUCACCAUUAAUUGAGAACUGCACCUCCCUCCCCUCUUCCGCUCCGCCACACCAGCGUGGUCACAGAGGAUGUUUCCGUGGACAUCUGGCUCUGGGUCUCUCCCGUU
rnacentral:lncRNA from 1 species